rnacentral:rRNA from 1 species
AAGCGGAGGAAAAGAAACCAACAGGGAUUGCCCCAGUAACGGCGAGUGAAGCGGCAACAGCUCAAAUUUGAAAUCUGGCCCCUCGGGGCCCGAGUUGUAAUUUGUAGAGGAUGCUUCUGGCGAGGCGCCGCCUGAGUUCCCUGGAACGGGACGCCAUAGAGGGUGAGAGCCCCGUCUGGCUGGCCGCCGAGCCUCUGUGAAGCUCCUUCGACGAGUCGAGUAGUUUGGGAAUGCUGCUCAAAACGGGAGGUAUAUGUCUUCUAAAGCUAAAUAUUGGCCAGAGACCGAUAGCGCACAAGUAGAGUGAUCGAAAGAUGAAAAGCACUUUGAAAAGAGGGUUAAACAGUACGUGAAAUUGUUGAAAGGGAAGCGCUUGCGACCAGACUCGGGCGCGGCGGAUCAUCCGGCGUUCUCGCCGGUGCACUCCGCCGUGCUCGGGCCAGCAUCGGUUCGCCUCGGGGGAGAAAGGCGUCGGGAAUGUGGCUCCCUCGGGAGUGUUAUAGCCCGGCGUGGAAUACCCUGGGGCGGACCGAGGACCGCGCGUUUUACGCAAGGAUGCUGGCGUAAUGGUCGCCAGCGACCCGUCUUGAAACACGGACCAAGGAGUCGUCCUCGUAUGCGAGUGUUCGGGUGUCAAACCCCUACGCGUAAUGAAAGUGAACGCAGGUGAGAGCUUCGGCGCAUCAUCGACCGAUCCUGAUGUUCUCGGAUGGAUUUGAGUAAGAGCAUACGGGGCCGGACCCGAAAGAAGGUGAACUAUGCCUGUGUAGGGUGAAGCCAGAGGAAACUCUGGUGGAGGCUCGCAGCGGUUCUGACGUGCAAAUCGAUCGUCAAACAUGGGCAUGGGGGGCGAAAGACUAAUCGAA